AUGCUAGCCGCCCGCUCCCCCUCCCCCCACCCCACCCAUUCGUUCCAGGAGGAGUUACAGAAUAGGUUGGAUAGGAAAAAGCAGCGGAAGAUCAAGGAUUGGGCCAAGCAUCACAGGAAGUAUGUCGUGCAGUUCGCUCUUAGUGUGGAGCAAGCAAGGGCUGGAAAACGAGCCCAGCUUCGUGAGCACUGCCCGAUCGCAUUCAACAACUAUCUCACAUGGUUUCUUGCAAGUACCCGCGUGGAGGUAUGCAAGCCGGCGUAUGCUGAGGAGAUUGUGGAAGAACCCACCGUUUUUGAUGAGAAAGCAGCUGAUGAGACUGAGACUAUUCUGGAAACAACCCCGGCUGGCAAAAGCGAUGGGGAAGCGCCAGGCCAAAAGUUAAGGCGGCUAUCAAACCUUUUCGGUUGUUGUGACCCCGAGUAUGUAUCACCAGAACGGUCUAGGUCGGCGACACCAUCAGAUCCCGCUUCGGGGCAGGGCCAUGGUGAACCUUUCGAGGAUGAGGAUGUGGGUGUGGUCACCCAAGAGGUUGCUGAUGAUAUGACCGUGGGGAUGUACCAGGCUCAGUCUGCAUACGAGUUGAAGCCUAGGAAGGGAAUCAACAAGUACACACCUGAAGACUUCACCCAAAGAGGCCAAAGAGGCAAAAGGACGGUCGGCACCUCGCGGAUGGCGGCUUUGGAUGACUAUUUGGAUGACUAUGUAGAUGACGUGGAGGAACCGGAGCCGGAGCCGGAGCGGGUUCCUCUUCCUAGGAAGGUGAAGAAGAUAAGCGUCAAGAGGGCGGAGGAGCCAGUAAGCGCGGAAAGCACUAGUCAUCGUCCUUUAUUUAUAAUGUUCAACUUAGAGUGGAAUUUGUUAUGUCGUUGA
rnacentral:rRNA from 1 species